rnacentral:rRNA from 1 species
UACGAAGGGGGCUAGCGUUGCUCGGAAUCACUGGGCGUAAAGCGCACGUAGGCGGAUCUUUAAGUCAGGGGUGAAAUCCCGGAGCUCAACUCCAGAACUGCCUUUGAUACUGAGGAUCUUGAGUAUGGGAGAGGUGAGUGGAACUGCGAGUGUAGAGGUGAAAUUCGUAGAUAUUCGCAAGAACACCAGUGGCGAAGGCGGCUCACUGGCCCAUUACUGACGCUGAGGCACGAAAGCGUGGGUAGCAAACAGG